GUAGAACUGCAUCCAAAACUAUUUAGCUAGAGUGUGGGAGAGGAAGAUGGAAUUAGUUGUGUAGGGGUAAAAUCCGUAGAGAUAACUAGGAAUACCAAAAGCGAAGGCAAUCUUCUGGAACAUUACUGACGCUGAGGCGCGAAAGCGUGGGGAGCAAACAGGAUUAGAUACCCUGGUAGUCCACGCCCUAAACGAUGAAUGUUAGUCGUCGGGUAGCUAGUCUAUUCGGUGAUGCAGCUAACGCAUUAAACAUUCCGCCUGGGGAGUACGGUCGCAAGAUUAAAACUCAAAGGAAUAGACGGGGACCCGCACAAGUGGUGGAGCAUGUGGUUUAAUUCGAAGAUACGCGAAGAACCUUACCUAGCCUUGACAUAUUUAAGAAUCCGAUAGAGAUAUUGGAGUGCCUUCGGGAGCUUUCUUACAGGUGCUGCACGGCUGUCGUCAGCUCGUGUCGUGAGAUGUUGGGUUAAGUCCCGCAACGAGCGCAACCCUCGUCACUAGUUACUAACGGUUCGGCCGAGGACUCUAGUGAGACUGCCUUCGUAAGGAGGAGGAAGGUGAGGACGACGUCAAGUCAUCAUGGCCCUUACGGCUAGGGCAACACACGUGCUACAAUGGCCAGGACAGUGAGACGCGAUACCGUGAGGUGGAGCAAAUCUAUAAACCUGGUCUCAGUUCGGAUUGUAGUCUGCAACUCGACUACAUGAAGCUGGAGUCACUAGUAAUCGUAGAUCAGCUAUGCUACGGUGAAUACGUUCCCGGGUCUUGUACUCACCGCCCGUCACACCAUGGGAGUUGAUUUCACCCGAAGCGGGGAAGCUAAACUGGCUACCCUCCACGGUGGAAUUAGCGACUGGGGUGAAGUCGUAACAAGGUAACC
rnacentral:rRNA from 1 species